AUUGAACGCUGGCGGCAUGCCUUACACAUGCAAGUCGAACGGCAGCACGGGAGCAAUCCUGGUGGCGAGUGGCGAACGGGUGAGUAAUAUAUCGGAACGUGCCCGGUCGUGGGGAUAACGUAGCGAAAGCUACGCUAAUACCGCAUACGAUCUACGGAUGAAAGCGGGGGAUCGCAAGACCUCGCGCGAUUGGAGCGGCCGAUAUCAGAUUAGGUAGUUGGUGAGGUAAAGGCUCACCAAGCCGACGAUCUGUAGCUGGUCUGAGAGGACGACCAGCCACACUGGGACUGAGACACGGCCCAGACUCCUACGGGAGGCAGCAGUGGGGAAUUUUGGGACAAUGGGCGCAAGCCUGAUCCAGCAAUGCCGCGUGCAGGAUGAAGG
rnacentral:rRNA from 1 species